GACAGCGUACCUUUUGUAUAAUGGGUCAGCGACUUAGUCUGGCGAGCGAGCUUAAGCCGAUAGGUGGAGGCGCAGCGAAAGCGAGUCUGAACAGGGCGUUCAGUUCGUGGCUUUAGACCCGAAACCGAGUGAUCUAGCCAUGUGCAGGAUGAAGGUGGGGUAACACCCACUGGAGGUCCGAACCAGUGCCCGUUGAAAAGGUCUUGGAUGACGUGUGGCUAGGGGUGAAAGGCCAAUCAAACUCGGAAAUAGCUCGUACUCCCCGAAAUGCAUUUAGGUGCAGCGUUGGUUUAGUUUUAUAGAGGUAGAGCUACUGAUUGGAUGCGGGGGCUUCACCGCCUACCAAUUCCUGACAAACUCCGAAUGCUAUAAAAUGAUGACCAGCAGUGAGGGCAUGGGUGCUAAGGUCCAUGUCCGAGAGGGAAAGAACCCAGACCAUCAGCUAAGGUCCCCAAAUGUAUGUUAAGUUGAAUAAACGAGGUUGAACUGCUUAGACAGCUAGGAUGUUGGCUUGGAAGCAGCCAUUCAUUUAAAGAGUGCGUAACAGCUCACUAGUCGAGCGGUUCGGCAUGGAUAAUAAUCGGGCAUAAACAUACUACCGAAGCUAUGGACUUGAAAAAGUGGUAGGGGAGCAUUGUAGUGUCGUCGAAGGUGUACCGUGAGGUAUGCUGGAGAAGCUACAAAAGAAAAUGUAGGCAUAAGUAACGAUAAUGCGGGCGAGAAACCCGCACACCGAAAGACUAAGGUUUCCUCAGCUAUGCUAAUCAGCUGAGGGUUAGUCGGGACCUAACGCGAACCCGAAAGGGGUAGUGGAUGGACAACGGGUUAAUAUUCCCGUACCUGCUCACGUUAAAAGUGACGGAUCCCCGUGGUUGCUGCGUACUGACGGAAUAGUACGUUGAAGCGCAAGCGAUAGUACACUGAGGCUACGGCCAAGGUGAUAAUGCAGCGAAGGGGGUUCCAAGAAAAGCGAGUGAAGCAGCCCGUACCGUAAACCGACACAGGUAGUUGGGAUGAGAAUUCUAAGGUGCUCGAGAGAUUCAUGGCUAAGGAACUAGGCAAAAUAGACGCGUAACUUCGGGAGAAGCGUCGCCCCACUCCGGUGGGGCCGCAGUGAAAAGGUCCAGGCGACUGUUUAUCAAAAACACAGGGCUAUGCUAAAUUGAAAGAUGAC
rnacentral:rRNA from 14 species